rnacentral:rRNA from 1 species
GACGAACGCUGGCGGCGUGCUUAACACAUGCAAGUCGAACGGAAAGGCCCUGCUUUUGCGGGGUGCUCGAGUGGCGAAGGGGUGAGAAACACGGGAGUAACCCGGCCAGUACUUGGGGAUAACCUCAGGAAAAUGGGGAUAAUACAUGAUAGGAGCUCCUGCAGCAUGGUGGGGGUUGGAAAGUUUCGGAGGUUGGGGAUGGACUCGCGGCUUAUCAGCUUGUGGGUGGGGUAGUGGCUUACCAAGGCUUUGAGGGGUAGUCGGCCUGAGAGGGUGACCGGCCGCAUUGGGACUGAGGUGCGGCCCAGACUCGUACGGGAGGCCGCAGUGGGGAAUAUUGCACAAUGGGCGGAAGGGGGAUGCAGCAACUCCGCGUGCGGGAAGACGGCCUUCGGGGGGUGAACCGGUAUCGCCUGAGACGCGGCGUGAGUGACGGUAAUGAGUAAAGAAGCACCGGCUAACUACGUG